CAAGGGAGGGGCUGUAUCUCGCCGAGGGAUUGUAACUUGGUGAUGUAGGACUGUAGGAUGGUGAUGUUGGGCUAUAGCUGGGAGAUGUUGGGCUGUAACCAGGGGAGGUAGGACUGUAUGCAGGAGAAGUUGGACUAUAUGAUGGAGAAGUCGGACUAUAAGAGGGUGAGGUGGGGCUAUAUGAAGGUGAUGUGGGGCUGUAAGAAGGUGAAGUGGGGCUGUAAGAUGGCGAAGUGGGGCUGUAUGCCGGAGAAGUGGGGCUGUAGGCCGGAGAAGUGGGGCUGUAUGCCGGAGAAGUAGGGCUGUAGCUAGGUGAUGUUGGGCUAUAGCUAGGCGAGGUUGGGCUAUAGCUUGGAGAUGUUGGACUAUAACUGGGUGAUGUGGGUGAGUAUGAAGGACUGGUUGGAGAAUAUGCUGGACUUGUCGGGCUGUAGCCAGGGGAGCUGGGGCUAUAAGUGGGGGAAGUGGGGCUGUAACCAGGAGAUGUGGGGCUGUAACCGGGGGAAGUGGGGCUGUAUCCUGGAGAGGUCGGGCUGUAACCAGGGGAUGAUGGGCUGUAACCAGGGGAUGAUGGACUGUAACCAGGGGAUGAAGUAGGAGAGAAAGCCAUGCCACCCACAUAAGGAGAAAAUUGAGCAUCUGUAAUCGGUGACAUCCGCAUAUUUGGGCUGAGCAAAUAAUUUGGAGACAUCAUUCCAUCAUGAUACGGGGUUCCACUGAUAGGUGAACGCCCAGGUGUCAUGCC
rnacentral:lncRNA from 1 species